rnacentral:tRNA from 1 species
CCUCCGUGAUGCAACCGGUUAGCGCGUUCGUAUUUUAACAGAAAGGUUGUUGGUUCGAGCCUACCCGGAGGCG